rnacentral:rRNA from 1 species
UUGUCUCAAAGAUUAAGCCAUGCAUGUCUCAGUACAAGCCAAAUUAAGGUGAAACCGCGAAAGGCUCAUUAAAUCAGUUAUGGUUCCUUAGAUCGUACCAACGUUACUUGGAUAACUGUGGUAAUUCUAGAGCUAAUACAUGCAAACAGAGCUCCGACCGGAGACGGAAGGAGCGCUUUUAUUAGAUCAAAACCAAUCGGUGGCGGUUUCCGUCAUCGUACAACUUGGUGACUCUGAAUAACUUUACGCUGAUCGCACGGUCUUGCACCGGCGACGCAUCUUUCAAAUGUCUGCCUUAUCAACUGUCGAUGGUAGGUUCUGCGCCUACCAUGGUUGUAACGGGUAACGGGGAAUCAGGGUUCGAUUCCGGAGAGGGAGCCUGAGAAACGGCUACCACAUCCAAGGAAGGCAGCAGGCGCGCAAAUUACCCACUCCCGGCACGGGGAGGUAGUGACGAAAAAUAACGAUACGGGACUCAUCCGAGGCCCCGUAAUCGGAAUGAGUACACUCUAAACCCUUUAACGAGGAUCAAUUGGAGGGCAAGUCUGGUGCCAGCAGCCGCGGUAAUUCCAGCUCCAAUAGCGUAUAUUAAAGUUGUUGCGNUUAAAAAGCUCGUAGUCGAAUCUGUGUCCCGCGCCGCCGGUUCAUCGUUCGCGGUGUUAACUGGCGUGUCGCGGGACGUCCUGCCGGUGGGCUUAGCUCGCGAGGGCGGCCCAACUCAAUCCCGCCGCGGUGCUCUUCAUUGAGUGUCGAGGUGGGCCGGCACGUUUACUUUGAACAAAUUAGAGUGCUUAAAGCAGGCUAAAACUUUGCCUGAAUACUGUGUGCAUGGAAUAAUGGAAUAGGACCUCGGUUCUAUUUUGUUGGUUUUCGGAACCCCGAGGUAAUGAUUAAUAGGAACGGAUGGGGGCAUUCGUAUUGCGACGUUAGAGGUGAAAUUCUUGGAUCGUCGCAAGACGGACAGAAGCGAAAGCAUUUGCCAAAAACGUUUUCAUUGAUCAAGAACGAAAGUUAGAGGUUCGAAGGCGAUCAGAUACCGCCCUAGUUCUAACCAUAAACGAUGCCAGCUAGCGAUCCGCCGACGUUCCUCCGAUGACUCGGCGGGCAGCUUCCGGGAAACCAAAGCUUUUGGGUUCCGGGGGAAGUAUGGUUGCAAAGCUGAAACUUAAAGGAAUUGACGGAAGGGCACCACCAGGAGUGGAGCCUGCGGCUUAAUU